GAUGGCCACAUCAUAGUGUAACAUUGGUUCCCGUACGAUCACUAAUGUUAAGCAACGUCGAACCUGAUCAGUACCUAGAUGAGUGACCGCUUGGGAAUACCAGAUUCUGUAA